GGCUUCUUGUUGUCUUUAGAUAGGAAGUCUGGCCUGCCCGGUGAUGAGAUAUUUAACGGCCGCGGUACUUUGACCGUGCAAAGGUAGCAUAAUCAUUUGCUCUUUAAUUGAGGGCUGGUAUGAAUGGUUUGACGAGAAUUUAGCUGUCUCUUUAAAAAUGCUGAGAAAUUAACUUUUAGGUGAAGAGGCCUAAAUUUUGUUAAGGGACAAGAAGACCCUGUUGAGCUUUAGUGACUAUUUGGGUUAGGUGUCUUGUAGAAAUCUUACUAAAAGAAAUCUUUGGCUGGGACGACUUAGGAACAAAUAAAACUUCCUAUAUUAGUGUUAGACAUGCGUGUAGAUUGAUCCAAUAUUAUUGAUUGAAGGAACAAGUUACCACAGGGAUAACAGCGUAAUCUUCUUGGAGAGUUCGAAUCAAAAAGUGGGUUUGCGACCUCGAUGUUGGACUAAGAUAUCCUAGUGGGUGUAAAAGUUCCUAAGGGUUGGUC
rnacentral:rRNA from 1 species